rnacentral:rRNA from 1 species
GCCUUCGGUUGCCCGAGUUGUAAUCUAGAGAAGUGUUUUCCGUGCCGGCCCAUGUACAAGUCCCUUGGAACAGGGCGUCAUAGAGGGUGAGAAUCCCGUCCUUGACAUGGACCCCCGGUGCUUUGUGAUACACUUUCAACGAGUCGAGUUGUUUGGGAAUGCAGCUCAAAAUGGGUGGUGAAUUCCAUCUAAAGCUAAAUAUUGGCGAGAGACCGAUAGCGAACAAGUACCGUGAGGGAAAGAUGAAAAGCACUUUGGAAAGAGAGUUAAACAGUACGUGAAAUUGUUGAAAGGGAAACGAUUGAAGUCAGUCAUGCUCUUGGGACUUACCUCCCUUGAGUGGGGUCAACAUCAGUUUUGAUCGAUGGAUAAAGGCACUAGGAAGGUAGCACUCUCGGGUGAACUUAUAGCCUAGCGUCAUAUACAUUGAUUGGGACUGAGGAACGCAGCAUGCCUUUUGGCCGGGAUUCGUCCACGUACAUGCUUAGGAUGUUGACAUAAUGGCUUUA